CGAACCGUGGCGGGAGAGUCCUCCCAGCAAUGUGGCGGCGCCGUAGGAGCAAAUCCUCCCCAGGAAUCUCUCAGGCCCCCGUACCGCCAUGGUGAG
rfam:Arthrobacter sp. PAMC25486, complete genome.